rnacentral:rRNA from 1 species
UACGGAGGGUGCGAGCGUUGUCCGGAAUCACUGGGCGUAAAGGGCGCGUAGGUGGCGCGGGCAGUCAACGGUGAAAGUUCGGGGCUCAACCCUGAAUCGGCCGUCGAUACUCCCGUGCUUGAGCACUGUAGAGGCAGAUGGAAUUCCGGGUGUAGCGGUGGAAUGCGUAGAGAUCCGGAAGAACACCGGUGGCGAAGGCGGUCUGCUGGGCAGUAGCUGACACUGAGCGCGACAGCGUGGGGAGCAACAGG